GACGAACGCUGGCGGCGUGCUUAACACAUGCAAGUCGAACGGUGACGAAUGGAGCUUGCUCUGUUCUGAUCAGUGGCGAACGGGUGAGUAACACGUGAGUAACCUGCCCCUGACUCUGGAAUAACUUCGGGAAACCGAAGCUAAUACCGGAUAUGACACAGAGCUGCAUGGGUUCUGUGUGGAAAGUUUUUCGGUUGGGGAUGGACUCGCGGCCUAUCAGCUUGUUGGUGAGGUAAUGGCUCACCAAGGCGACGACGGGUAGCCGGCCUGAGAGGGCGAUCGGCCACACUGGGACUGAGACACGGCCCAGACUCCUACGGGAGGCAGCAGUGGGGAAUAUUGCACAAUGGGCGAAAGCCUGAUGCAGCGACGCCGCGUGAGGGAUGAAGGCCUUCGGGUUGUAAACCUCUUUCAGUAGGGAAGAAGCGCAAGUGACGGUACCUACAGAAGAAGCACCGGCUAACUACGUGCCAGCCGCCGCGGUAAUAC
rnacentral:rRNA from 1 species